rnacentral:lncRNA from 1 species
AUGCGGGAUCAGAGGACUCCAGGGGCAGAAACCCCCAACCUGGCUUCUCGCCGCACAGAGGCGCGCACCUCUCCGAAGGGCAGUGCGCGCGGCCGCCCCUGGGGGCCAGCUCUCCGGAGCCUCCAGGCCCCUUGCCCGUCCGGGGCCCUGGGCUGCUCAGGCAAACGUGGCCUGGAGAGGGGCACGCGCCGCCGGGCCCAGCAAGGGGGCUGCCCCGGCUGGGGGGUCACACUCGCCUCCAGCACCUCCCACCACCGCAACAGGGGCCCCCAGCAGCCCCGGUGCAUGCACACCCGGGGGCAGGAAGUUUUUUCCCCCCUUUUUUCCCCCUGGAGCAGCGCAGGCGCAAGGGCUCCUGCAGACUGCGAGUCCAAACGCGGGAGGCUCCUGUCGUCGCCGCCGCCGCCGCCAGAGCCGAGCCCAGCGUUCUGGGUUCCGGCACCGCUCCCACUGCCGGCCCGGCCCCGAGCGGCGGCGGCCAGGACCUGGGUCUCCGGCGCCGCCUUCGAGGCGCUCCAGCCCGGCCCGGCUCUUACCUCCGGCCGCGCCGCUCCGGCCCCGGCCCGACGCGCAGAGAGCCCGGGGUCGCCGGUGGGCGCAGGAGGGCUGAUGGAGAGCGGACGGCGCCGGGUAGCGGUGGCUGGGGCCGCUCGGGUCCUGGCCGGAGGAAACGGAUCCAGGUCCUCCUCCUCCUCCUCGCGUUCCUGCUCUCCGCCUUCUCCCCGCGUUCCUCCUCCUCCUCCUCCGCCGCCGCCGCCGCCGCCUCCCGGCAGCCCAGGAAGGAUGCCCGGGAGAGGGAAGUCGGUCCUUCUGCCUGUCAGCCUGUGCGGCUAUGCGCGGUGCAGCGCGGCUCUCAUCGAGGCGGCGGCGGCGGCGGCGGCUCCGGCAGCAUCGCCCCCGCCCUCUCCCCGCAGCCGCGGCGGCCGCGGGGCUGGGGCUGGCUCCCGGCUCGCGGCUCGGGCUCCGGGCGGGGGCUGCGCUCAGGCGCGGCGGCCGCCGGGGCUGCGGACAGGCGCUGCGGAGACGGGGCCGGGGCUGGGGCUGGAGCUGCGGCGAGAUCCGCGGUGGCGGGGACGGCGGCGGCGGCGGCGCGGGGGCUGGCGCGGCCGCGGCGCGGGGACCAUGCUCCCUUCUGGCUCGCUCCGCUCCGGGUACCGUCUGCUUUAG